rnacentral:rRNA from 1 species
GCAAGUCGAGCGCACCUUCGGGUGAGCGGCGGACGGGUUAGUAACGCGUGGGAAUAUACCCAGUUCUAAGGAAUAGCCUCGGGAAACUGAGAGUAAUACCUUAUACGCCCUUCGGGGGAAAGAUUUAUCGGAAUUGGAUUAGCCCGCGUUAGAUUAGGUAGUUGGUGGGGUAAUGGCCUACCAAGCCUACGAUCUAUAGCUGGUUUGAGAGGAUGAUC